GAUGAACGCUGGCGGCGUGCUUAACACAUGCAAGUCGAACGAUGAAGCCCAGCUUGCUGGGUGGAUUAGUGGCGAACGGGUGAGUAACACGUGAGUAACCUGCCCUUAACUCUGGGAUAAGCCUGGGAAACUGGGUCUAAUACUGGAUAGGAGCGUCCACCGCAUGGUGGGUGUUGGAAAGAUUUAUCGGUUUUGGAUGGACUCGCGGCCUAUCAGCUUGUUGGUGAGGUAAUGGCUCACCAAGGCGACGACGGGUAGCCGGCCUGAGAGGGUGACCGGCCACACGGGGACUGAGACACGGCCCAGAGUCCUACGGGAGGCAGCAGGGGGGAAUAUUGCACAAUGGGCGCAAGCCUGAUGCAGCGACGCCGCGUGAGGGAUGACGGCCUUCGGGUUGUAAAACUCUUUCAGUAGGGAAGAAGCGAAAGUGACGGUACCUGCAGAAGAAGCACCGGCUAACUACGUG
rnacentral:rRNA from 1 species